CGUACACUCCUGCGGGAGGCAGCAGUGGGGAAUUUUGGACAAUGGGCGCAAGCCUGAUCCAGCCAUGCCGCGUGCGGGAAGAAGGCCUUCGGGUUGUAAACCGCUUUUGUCAGGGAAGAAAAGGUUCUGGCUAAUACCUGGGACUCAUGACGGUACCUGAAGAAUAAGCACCGGCUAACUACGUGCCAGCAGCCGCGGUAAUACGUAGGGUGCAAGCGUUAAUCGGAAUUACUGGGCGUAAAGCGUGCGCAGGCGGUUAUGCAAGACAGAGGUGAAAUCCCCGGGCUCAACCUGGGAACUGCCUUUGUGACUGCAUGGCUAGAGUACGGUAGAGGGGGAUGGAAUUCCGCGUGUAGCAGUGAAAUGCGUAGAUAUGCGGAGGAACACCGAUGGCGAAGGCAAUCCCCUGGACCUGUACUGACGCUCAUGCACGAAAGCGUGGGGAGCAAACAGGAUUAGAUACCCGGGUAGUCCC
rnacentral:rRNA from 1 species